CCUACGGGGGGCAGCAGUGGGGGAUAUUGCACAAUGGGGGGAACCCUGAUGCAGCGACGCCGCGUGGGUGAAGGAGCGUUUCGGCGCGUAAAGCCCUAUCGGCAGGGAAGAAGAUGACGGUACUUGACCAAGAAGCCCCGGCUAACUACGUGCCAGCAGCCGCGGUAAUACGGAGGGGGCAAGCGUUAUCCGGAUUUACUGGGUGUAAAGGGGGCGCAGACGGGAAUGCAAGCCAGGAGGGAAAGCCCGGGGGCCAACCCCGGGACUGCUCUUGGAACUGCAUGGCUGGAGUACAGGAGGGGCAGGCGGAAUGCCUAGUGUAGCGGUGAAAUGCGUAGAUAUUAGGAGGAACACCGGUGGCGAAGGCGGCGUGCUGGACUGUGACUGACGUUGAGGCCCGAAGGCGUGGGGAGCGAACAGGAUUAGAUACCCCGGUAGUC
rnacentral:rRNA from 1 species